AUUGAACGCUGGCGGCAUGCCUAACACAUGCCAGUCGAGCGGAUGAAGGGAGCUUUCGCCUGUAUUCAGCUGCGGGCGGGUGGGUAAUUCCUAGGAAGCUGCCUGGUAUUUGGGGAUAACGUCCGUAAGCGGGCGCUAAUACCGCAUACGUCCUGAGAGAGAAAGGGGGGGAUCUUCGGACCUCGCGCUAUCAGAUGAGCCUAGGUCGGAGUAGCUAGUUGGUGGGGUAAAUGCCUACCAAGGCGACGAUCCGUAACUAGUCUGAGAGGAUGAUCAGUCACACUGGAACUGAGACACGGUCCAGACUACUACGGGAGGCAGCAGUGGGGAAUAUUGGACAAUGGGGGAAAGCCUGAUCCAGCCAUGCCGGGUGUGUGAAGAAGGUCUUCGGAUUGUAAAGACCUUUAAGUUGGGAGGAAGGGAAGUAAGUUAAUACCUUGCUGUUUUGACGGUACCAAAAGAAUAAGCAACGGCUAACUUCGUG
rnacentral:rRNA from 1 species